rnacentral:rRNA from 1 species
AGUGAACGCUGGCGGUAGGCCUAACACAUGCAAGUCGAACGGCAGCACAGUAAGAGCUUGCUCUUACGGGUGGCGAGUGGCGGACGGGUGAGGAAUACAUCGGAAUCUACUUUUUCGUGGGGGAUAACGUAGGGAAACUUACGCUAAUACCGCAUACGACCUACGGGUGAAAGCAGGGGAUCUUCGGACCUUGCGCGAUUGAAUGAGCCGAUGUCGGAUUAGCUAGUUGGCGGGGUAAAGGCCCACCAAGGCGACGAUCCGUAGCUGGUCCGAGAGGAUGAUCCACCCAACUGGAAACUGAGAACGGUCCAGACCCCUACGGGGGGCCGCAGUGGGGAAUAUUGGAAAAUGGGCGCAAGCCUGAUCCAGCCAUACCGCGUGGGUGAAGAAGGCCUUCGGGUUGUAAAGCCCUUUUGUUGGGAAAGAAAAGCAGCAGGUUAAUACCCCGCUGUUCUGACGGUACCCAAAGAAUAAGCACCGGCUAACUUCGUG